rnacentral:rRNA from 1 species
AUUGAACGCUGGCGGCAGGCCUAACACAUGCAAGUCGAACGAGUGGCGGACGGGUGAGUACUGUCUGGGAAACUGCCUGAUGGAGGGGGAUAACUACUGGAAACGGUAGCUAAUACCGCAUACCAUCGGAUGUGCCCAGAUGGGAUUAGCUAGUAGGUGGGGUAAAGGCUCACCUAGGCGACGCUCCCUAGCUGGUCUGAGAGGAUGACAAGGAACACUGGAAGUGAGAAACGGUCCAGAAUCCUACGGGAGGAAGCAGGGGGGAAUAUUGCACAAUGGGCGAAAGCCUGAGGCAGCCAUGCCGCGUGUAGGAAGAAGGCCGUCGGGGUGUAAAGUACUUUCAGCGGGGAGGCGUUACCCGCAGAAGAAGCACCGGCUAACUCCGUGCCAGCAGCCGCGGUAAUUC